AGAACACCUGUGUCGGACUAUAAUGCCUGCUACAGAGCCAGCUAAUCCGCUGAAUGGAGAUUGAACAGAAAAUGUCCCAAUCAAAGUCACGCGAGGCAACGAGUCAUCCUUCUGAAGCUCUUCCCAGUCAGGAGAAAUGGUGGGACCUCUUUCAGGAGCGAUUGGCUCCCUUCCAAUCUCAGGAUGGAGAGCGACCUCAGCGAUUGGAUGAGGUGAUGGUGACGGAAACAGCCAAUCCUGAUCCAGGUGCCGCCAG